GCCUCCUAAACGAGUAACGGAGGACGCCCAAACGGUUCCCUCAGCCUGGUUGGCGAAUCAGGUGUUGAGUGUAAGUGCGACAAGGGAGCUUGACUGUGAGACCGACGGGUCGAGCAGGGACGAAAGUCGGGACUAGUGAUCCGGCGGUGGCUUGUGGAAGCGCCGUCGCUCAACGGAUAAAAGGUACCCCGGGGAUAACAGGCUGAUCUUCCCCAAGAGUCCAUAUCGACGGGAUGGUUUGGCACCUCGAUGUCGGCUCGUCGCAUCCUGGGGCUGGAGUCGGUCCCAAGGGUUGGGCUGUUCGCCCAUUAAAGCGGUACGCGAGCUGGGUUUAG
rnacentral:ncRNA from 1 species